AGUGAACGCUGGCGGCAGGCCUAACACAUGCAAGUCGAGCGACAGCACAGUAAGAUCUCUCCUCUACCGUUGGCGAGUGGCGGAUGAGUGAGGCAUGCAUAACAUUCUUCUUUUACGUGGGGGACUUCGUAGGGACACAUCUGCUAAUACCGCAUACAUUGUACGGCUGGAAGCAGUAGUUAUUCGCGCCUUUCGCGUCUGUAUUAGCCGAAGUCGGAUUAGCUUGUUGGGAGGGUAAGGGCCCACCAAGGCAACGAUACGUAGCUGAUCUGAGAGGAUGAUCGGCCACACUGGAACUGAGACACGGUCCAGACUCCUACGGGAGGCAGCAGUAGGGAAUCUUGCGCAAUGGGCACAAGCCUGACGCAGCCAUACCGCGUGAGUGAAGAAGGCCUUCGGAUUGUAAAACUCUGUUAUUAGGAAAGAAAAACUGCGGGAGAAUACACCGAUGUUCUGACGGUACCCAAAGAAUAAGCACCGGCUAACUUCGUG
rnacentral:rRNA from 1 species